AUUAAAAUAAAUCCAAAUUAAUUGAAAUACAUAAAGGAUAAAGAAAAAAAAUUGAUCGUUAAAAGUUCAUUUGUCAGGAUGUGACUAAACUACCGUCCAGCAUAAAUCAUCACCAACGUAGUCAAGUUGAAGUUGAAAAUAUUAUUAAGUGGUAAUAAAAAUUAUUGAAAAUUAUCUAAAAGUAAUAUAAAUGAAAAAUAAUAAAAUGAAUAAUGAUUAAAUAAUUUCGAUAGAAAUAAUCGAAAAAGAUUCAAAGUGAUUAAAGUUAGUUAUUUCGUAAACGUUGAAUUGAUUAAUCGUAUCAUACGGAAGUUCCGAGUAUAACCGACAGAUUGCGAAAGUCUUCAGAAACAACAACCGUCGUCGCCCCUUUCUAAAAGAAGUUCUGUAUGCUGUGAUUUAUCACUCAGGGGGCCAAACUACGCGCAACAACGGACAACCCCACAGGACCGGGGGGUGCUUCUCGUGUCUCGGGAGGAAGGUCAGGGUCUACAAAAGUUACGCCUUGACAGUAACAAUCAUACACGCGAGCUGCUUAAAAUUACACCGAAAAAAAAAAAAAUAAAAAAAAAUCAAAACAAAAAAA
rnacentral:lncRNA from 1 species